UCCUUCCGCGACCCGCGCGCGCCUUCCGCCUGGCGUUCCGCGUCCGCCCGCGCCCUUCGAGCGCUUGCUCCGCGCCGGCCCCGCGGCUUCCUCGGCUCGGGGCGCCGUUCCACUGCGGGCCGCUCUGAGGCUGCGGAGGGAGCGGGAGGCGACUCGCCGCGGUCGGUCGCCUCUUUCGUCCCGCACGGCCCUCGGGGGCCGGUCCUCAGGCCGGGGACGCUGGGCGCGCGGCGUCUCCGUCGGGGCUUCCGCAGCGCCCGCGCUCGGCGGCCUGCGCGGAGGUGCGCGGGGUGCGGGGUUUGCAGAGCUGACCUUGAUCGCCCACCUGUGCCCCAGCCGCCGCCCUGGCUGCGCUUCAGGGACCGCCCGGGAGUGAGCGGGGGACGGGCCUCCCGGUCGGUCCUGCGCUAGCGGAGGAGGAUGCCGCCCUGGUCGCCAGCUUCACGUGGCUUUUGCUUGUCAUUGCGUGGCCACAGACCGCCUGCAGCCCCAGUCGGCUCCUCUCAGACAUCACCGUCCGGAGAGGCCACAGCUACCAGCCAUGACAGAGUCCUGCCAGUCUGUCUCUCGGGUGCCCCUUCGGUCUGUCCUCACCUGCCCUCUUGCCAUGCUCCUGGCCGAUCGUUGUAGGCGCUGCACCGACGUCCUCAGGUUUGCGCCCUCCCUCCCCAGGCCAGUCCAGAUACUUGUGACGUUCUUUUGCAUCCUGGGACCCGCGCAAGACCACGUAGGGGGUAAGGAGCCGGGCCUCACCCCAGCAGCACCUCCUAGGACUGCCGGUCACAUCACACGAUGGGGUGCUGUUUGCCCCGCGCUCGCCACACUUUUCACCUGGCGCUGGUCCAGCUCAGCUGUGGCGUGAACUUGUCCUGAGCUUUCUCCUCCUCAAAACCUCCCAUCUUUUGCUGCACAUCAGGGUGGCUUCCCACCCCCUUGUCCCUGUACCCAGGAGGGGGCUGCACACGAUCUGAGCUUCUGUUUACUUCGUGGAAGCAGCGGACCAGACCCCAUGGUUAUCGAGCCCUGGGAUAUGUUAGGGUUCUCCAGGGAAGCAGAAUCAACAGGAUGUGUGUGUGUGUGCCCGUGCACACACAUACACAUCUGUGAAUAUUCAUAUGCAUUUACAAGGGGAGAGAGAGAGAAAUAAUUGUUUUAAGGAAUUAUCGUACGUAAUAAUGGGGGCCGGCAAGUCCAGAAAGUUCAGGGUGGGCCGACAGGCUGGGGACCCAGGCAAGAGUUGCAGUUCGAGCCUCCAUUUUGUCUUUUGAAUUCCCUCUUCUUUGGGAGAAGUCAGUCCGUGUCUCUGAGGCCUUCAACUGAUUGAACGAGGCCCACCCACGUCACGGAGAGCAACCCGCCCCACUCAACGUCCCCUGAUUCAUUGUUAAUGUCAUCUCAAACAUGCCUUCAUAGAAACAUCUAGAAUAACGUUUGACCGGAAGCAGGGUGCCAUAGCCCAGCCAAGGUGAUGAUCGCAUACAAAAUUUAUACGUGAUGAUGCAUCACAUAACUAUCGCAUAUGGCCAAUCUAGUUUCCAAUUUACUUUUAUUUAAACAAAUCAGUUUUUCUAAGCCUCCAAAUUAAAACGGUGUGAAAAUGAGAAAAAAUAAGACCUCACCAUGAGAGCUAAUGCGUGGGUUUCUCAGACUCGACGCCUGGAGAGCCGGCCACUGUGCAGGGGCUUGCUAGCCUUUGAUGUGACAGUUGUAAAUCUGUCAGAGGCAUGCUUAUGUCUGCAGUCCCAUUUAUGUCAAAUCGUUGGGCAUAUCCAUUAUUCAUGCCUUCUUCAUUUGUCUUUGCCGUUUUCCUUUUUUCCCGGUGAGGAUAAAAAUAGAAUGGAACUAAUGAUAACCCCGUAGUUCCUGAGCCCUGCAAUGACCCAAAAUGCCACGGUGUUAGUGACAGCCAAGCACGAGACACGUCCGUCAUUGAGCAGAAUGCCCGUGGAUCUGAAGCAGAAAGCGUCCGUGCUGUUGACCCUGGGGACCGGAUCCUUCCUGGGUGUGGGGGGCUGUCCGUGUGUUUAUCAGACACCGGACCAAAGACAUGACCAGACAUUGCCCCCCGUCCCCUGGCCGAAGGGUGGCAGGGUUGAUCUGGCUGCACAGCACUAGCUCAGAGCAUCGGGCGUGGGCACCAGCUGCAUGGGGGGCAGGGGGAGCCUGGGGCGACGACAGGCUGCCGCUAGGAGGCCGCACAGACGGUGCACGGAGAAAAGACAAGCACCUUGGCGUAGGGUAGCGGCCGUAGCCAACGCAGAUGGGGGCUCAGGAGCCGCGAGGCACGUCGCUCUCAUGCCAGGAGCCUACGUGAGGUUCCAGAGCCCCGCUGCGAUCCGUUCUGGGUCCAGCUCUUCUCUUCCCAUCCAGUGCCGAAGGGUGACCUGGCCGCACGGCCCCAGUUGCCCUCGUGGGUGCGAGAACUUGGUUAAGACAGACAAAAUCCGGCCACCCCCAAGGGUCCAGCACCAGGCAGGCUUCAGAUUCUGGGGAGCACUGCACGUGCCAGCUGCACGGCCACCACGCUUUGUCUCCCACUCAGGGCAGCUUGCAAAUACAGAAUCGGAGAGGCCCUAUAUGGAACCUUCCCUACGGUGUGGAUCAGAAGACAGCACGUACCUCCCAUGUGACCAACGUGCUCUGAGUACCGGGAUCUCUCACGUGAGGAAGCUUCUCAGGGUGCCGCGUGUGUCCUACAGGACCUCAGGGCCCUCCAGGGCGUCAUUAGCGGUCCCGUGGAAGAAAAUGAUGGAGACCAGCACGUUGAGAUGCCUCCCACGUGCCCCCUCCCACCUCACGUUAGCAGCUGGGGCAAGAAAAUGCAGAACCUCCAUUUCUGAAAGUGUGCUGAGCCGACGCUUCACCAAACGAGAGACACGGACCCCAAAUAAACACAUGGAAAGAUGCUCGACAUCGUUAGUCAUUAGGGAAAACGGACAUUAAAACGAUAACGAGAUACCUCCACAUUCCUGUUAGAACGGCUAACGUGAGAAGCACCAACGAUAUCAAAGGCCGGCAAGGGUAUGGAGCACCUGGAAGGCUCAUCCACAGCUGGCAGGAAGCGGUGCAGCCACGUGGCAAACAGGCGGCCGUUUCUCAUGCAGUCACACGGAGGCUUUCCUCUGCGACGCAGCAGCGCCCCUCCCGGCUCUUUACCCGAGACGAAAACCUCUAGCAGCUUUAUCACCCAAACCGGAGACGACCCACAUGGUCAGCUGGCACUUGGAUGAAGGAGGGUCACGUCCACACACUGGAACACCGUUCGGCAAAUGAACGGUGUCUGAGCCCGAAAGCAUUAUGCUAAGCGGAAGAAGCCAGGGGCUGAAUGCUACCCACUGUGCGAUGCUGCCCUUAUGACAUUCUGGAAAGGGCAAAACCGCAGGGACACAAAUCAGGGGUGCUGAGGGUGGGCAGAGGUGACUGACAGCAAAGGGGCACGGAGGAGCUUUUGAGGAGAUGGCGUGCCCCGGGUCUCGAUGGUGGUCGUGGUAAUGUGGCUCCUGCAUUGCCGACAAGGGGGGGCUGCACACCUAAAAAGGAUGCCGUUUUUUUGAGGCGUAAUUGACGCGUCACCCUCUAUCAGUUGAAGGUGUACAACAUGAUAAUUUGGUUAUAAACAGACAUGCUUUUAUUGUGAGAUGAGAACGAAUUCAUCAUAUGUUCAUUUUAUCUCAA